UACGUAGGGUGCAGGCGUUAAUCGGAAUUACUGGGCGUAAAGCGUGCGCAGGCGGUUUGCUAAGACAGGUGUGAAAUCCCCGGGCUUAACCUGGGAACUGCGCUUGUUACUGGCAGGCUUGAGUGUGGCAGGAGGGGGGUGGAAUUCCGACGUGUAGCAGUGAAAUGCGUAGAGAUGUGGAGGAACACCGAUGGCGAAGGCAGCCCCCUGGGCUAACACUGACGCUCGAUGCACGAAAGCGUGGGGAGCAAACAGG
rnacentral:rRNA from 1 species